rnacentral:rRNA from 1 species
GACGAACGCUGGCGGCGUGCUUAACACAUGCAAGUCGAACGGAAAGGCCCUGCUUUUGUGGGUUGCUCGAGUGGCGAACGGGUGCGUAACACGUGAGUAACCUGCCCUUGACUUUGGGAUAACUUCAGGAAACUGGGGCUAAUACCGGAUAGGAGCUCCUGCUGCAUGGUGGGGGUUGGAAAGUUUCGGCGGUUGGGGAUGGACUCGCGGCUUAUCAGCUUGUUGGUGGGGUAGUGGCUUACCAAGGCUUUGACGGGUAGCCGGCCUGAGAGGGUGACCGGCCACAUUGGGACUGAGAUACGGCCCAGACUCCUACGGGAGGCAGCAGUGGGGAAUAUUGCACAAUGGGCGGAAGCCUGAUGCAGCAACGCCGCGUGCGGGAUGACGGCCUUCGGGUUGUAAACCGCUUUCGCCUGUGACGAAGCGUGAGUGACGGUAAUGGGUAAAGAAGCACCGGCUAACUACGUG